rnacentral:misc_RNA from 1 species
AUUGAAUCAAGCCUUUUCUUUCCAGCCUUUCAAAACCUCUUUGCCUUCUCAUCCAUUGGUCUAUAGUAUUUGAAAAUUUUCAAUUGAAUUUUUUAAAAAUAAAAUAAAAUUUUAAAACUAAAUAUUACUUCGUUAUAAAAAUAAAUAACAAAAACAACCAAAUCUUGUUUUUCCCACCAUUCAGCUCAUGCGGGUUUUGCUAUAGUAUUCAAAAACUUUUAAAUAUUUUAAUAUUAUUUCACUCCAUAUCAUCUUAAACCUUUCUCUCUCCUUCUCAUCUCUUUACAAAAAAAUUGGGUAGUGCUGCUACGAUCCAAACUCCAAGGGGCAGCCCAACCAGAAAGCCCAGAAAAUUAAUUGGCAAGAAAAAGAUAGGAAGGGAGAGUAUAUGAUUCAUAUUCACCAGUCUUCUUCUUCUUCUUGUGCUUUUCGUUCGGAUCUCUGAGCUACGGCUGCUCGUUUGACCGAUUCCAUCUCCAAUCUCAUCCCAAAUAUUCACUGAAAUGGCUGGAG